CCCCUAGAUGUUCUGGGCCGCACGCGCGCUACACUGAACAGUUCAACAAGUCUUAACCUUGGCCGAUAGGUCUGGGUAAUCUUUGAACGCUGUUCGUGAUUGGGAUAGACCUUUGCAAUUAUGGGUCUUCAACGAGGAAUUCCUAGUAAACGCAAGUCAUCAGCUUGCAUUGAUUACGUCCCUGCCCUUUGUACACACCGCCCGUCGCACCUACCGAUUGAGUGGUCCGGUGAAAUCUCGGGACGGCGGCUUGGUCGCUUGCGUCCGACUGCUGAAACUUGAUUAAACCAUAUCAUUUAGAGGAAGGUGAANUCGUANCA
rnacentral:rRNA from 1 species